CCUACGGGUGGCAGCAGUGAGGAAUAUUGGUCAAUGGGCGUAAGCCUGAACCAGCCAAGUCGCGUGAGGGAUGAAGGUUCUAUGGAUCGUAAACCUCUUUUAUAAGGGAAUAAAGUGUGGGACGUGUCCCGUGUUGUAUGUACCUUAUGAAUAAGGAUCGGCUAACUCCGUGCCAGCAGCCGCGGUAAUACGGCGGAUCCGAGCGUUAUCCGGAUUUAUUGGGUUUAAAGGGUGCGUAGGCGGCCUUUUAAGUCAGCGGUGAAAGUCCGGGGCUCAACCAUAGAAUUGCCGUUGAACCUGGGAGGCGUGUGUGUGUUUGAGGCAGGCGGAAUGCGGGGUGUAGCGGUGAAAUGCAUAGAUAUCGCGCAGAACCCCGAUUGCGAAGGCAGCCUGCCAGGCCAUGACUGACGCUGAUGCACGAAAGCGUGGGGAUCGAACAUGAUUAGAUACCCUUAUAGUC
rnacentral:rRNA from 1 species